UACAUACCGAUGAGAUGGAAAGUAACUUUACGAACGGCUGGAAAGAGAACAGGGAACUUGGCUGAAAUUCCUUGACAGAACAGUAAGGCGAACAACACCAUGGAGGUUUUGUGCUGAAAUUAGUAGGCAUGAACGGAACCGGCCGUUAUCCGGAUUCGAGUGGGCACAGUAUGUGUCAAUUUGGGUGGAACCGCGGAAGCUACAAGCUCUCGUCCCUAUG
rnacentral:ncRNA from 1 species